rnacentral:sRNA from 1 species
GAUUAAGGAACUUAGGCUAAACCCGCAACGUCCUGUUGCAACGCCUAAGCCACCACAUCCAUGUGGA